rnacentral:rRNA from 1 species
UACGAAGGGGGCUAGCGUUGCUCGGAAUCACUGGGCGUAAAGCGCACGUAGGCGGAUUGUUAAGUCAGGGGUGAAAUCCUGGAGCUCAACUCCAGAACUGCCUUUGAUACUGGCGAUCUUGAGUCCGGGAGAGGUAAGUGGAACUGCGAGUGUAGAGGUGAAAUUCGUAGAUAUUCGCAAGAACACCAGUGGCGAAGGCGGCUCACUGGCCCGGUACUGACGCUGAGGUGCGAAGGCGUGGGGAGCAAACAGG